AUUGAACGCUGGCGGCAGGCUUAACACAUGCAAGUCGAGCGGAGAUGAGGUGCUUGCACCUUAUCUUAGCGGCGGACGGGUGAGUAAUGCUUAGGUAUCUGCCUAUUAGUGGGGGACAACAUUCCGAAAGGAAUGCUAAUACCGCAUACGUCCUACGGGAGAAAGCAGGGGAUCUUCGGACCUUGCGCUAAUAGAUGAGCCUAAGUCGGAUUAGUUAGUUGGUGGGGUAAAGGCCUACCAAGGCGACGAUCUGUAGCGGGUCUGAGAGGAUGAUCCGCCACACUGGGACUGAGACACGGCCCAGACUCCUACGGGAGGCAGCAGUGGGGAAUAUUGGACAAUGGGGGAAACCCUGAUCCAGCCAUGCCGCGUGUGUGAAGAAGGCCUUAUGGUUGUAAAGCACUUUAAGCGAGGAGGAGGCUACUGAGACUAAUACUCUUGGAUAGUGGACGUUACUCGCAGAAUAAGCACCGGCUAACUCUGUGCCAGCCGCCGCGGUAA
rnacentral:rRNA from 1 species